CUCUCGAAAUCAGUAAACUCUCUUAAUGAUCGACAUAGCUUAUUGCCGCAUUGAUGUCCAAAACCCUCUUGAGAGAGAAACAGAGAGAGAAAGGUCAUCUUGAGGUGUGAGCGACUUGUGGGUCUUUCUCUCGAAUGGAUCGGUUCGUCAGUGCCCAGGCUCCUUGUCUCUCGGUAGGAGGGCCUCCCUCUCAAGUGGGCUUCUAGUUUCCGGCAAACUAAUUGCUCAGAAGGCGGUGGUAAGUUUUUGAAGCUAGCGGGAGUGACUGGAAGUGCUACUGCUCUUAGCAAAGUCUUGGGAUUAGUUCGUGAGCUUGUUCUUGCUGCUGUAUUUGGUGUUGGUCCUGUCGUAGAUGCGUUCGGGUAUGCAUCGAGUUCAUGGUGCUCUUCGCUAAGUUCGAAAGUUUGUAGAUAUGCGUCCAUUGUACCAGGAUUUUUUCUGAUAAUCCUUGGAGGAAUCAAUGGACCAAUCCACAUAGCAAUGGUAUCGGCCUUAAGAUACCUUUGAGCCUUGGCAUUCUCAUGUACACAUUAGCGGCUUUUCUUAUUGAUGCAAUCACAACAGGAUUGUUAUUGAAAACAAGCAGUGGAUUGAUCACGAGAAGCAUGGCUAUACUUCAGCUGAGAAUCAUGGCGCCUUGUGUAACACUGGCGUGCUUGAUGGGAAUCGGCUGUGGAAGUUUUGACCGAGCUUUCACGUCCAGUUUGUAGCCAAACUUUGGAAUGGGUUUCGUGUGCAGUGUCUCGGGAAGAUACGGGAUUGCAUCCUUGAGUCCUGCUCUAUCAAGCAUAUCGAUCAUUCUCGCUGCUGCAAUUCAUUGCAAGCUUUGCAAUCCUCAUUGCCUUGAGCUUUAAAGUCGAUUCAUACAAAGUGGUGCUUGACAGGAGGUGUUUUGCUCGUUUUGGCCUCGACAGUGGGAGCUUUGGCUCAAUGGCUUUUGCAGAUCUUUGCUCAAGAUGAUCGAGGCAUCAAGCUUUGCAUGCUUUUAAUGACCGGUCUCGCGAUCCCUCUCGCUAAGCCGAUCGUCCGAGCUCUCGUCCAGUGCUACACAUUUGGCGACUCCGCCGCUCAAGCCGUAUCAUUGCUCGUCAAGCACUAUGCGAUGGCCUCUACUUGCGACCUCCUUGAACGUAUUUUCUACGCUCUUGGCGAUCUCGAUUUUACGUGAGCUUGGCUGCCAUCUAACGCUCUCUUGGACUGGCUGCUCGUUGGAAAACUUUGUGGAAACUCUCUCUCUCUCUCUCUCUCUCUCUCUCUCUCGUGCUCCAGGUAAUGGCCACUUCAAUGGCACCGCUACGUAGAUGGGCCUGACAACCAAAGCUUUUGGAGAAGCUCACAACACCGGCUCGCUCUCUCUCUCUCUCUCUCUCUCUCUCUCUCUCUCUCUCUCGUGCUCCAGGUAAUGGCCACUUCAAUGGCACCGCUACGUAAAAUUCUAGAUGGGCCUGACAACCAAAGCUUUUGGAGAAGCUCACAACACCGGCUCCUCAGAUGAUCAAACUUCCGGUUGCUUCCUUUUGUUGCAGCUUUUAGACGACGGUGCAACCUUCUCAGGCAUCCCAAAAUUUAGCGCAUGACUGUUGCGGAGUUUUUGGAACGGAGUGGAGGCUCCACGCUUGUUGAUGUAAGCUGGUGCCCCAGAAGGAGGCUUUCUUCAAGACUGUCGGAAAUAUGUAUCAACACAGCUGUCCGAGGAACUUAGCUGGAUCAAGGUUGAAAAGGAGUUGCUUCAUCUGCGAGAGAUCCAAGCAGGAGGUAAAUCGAAGCUGGUUAAGGCAGACUUUCCUUUUGUGAUUCAGUUUAAAACACUUGACUUGAGAGCAGGACUGACUUGAAAGAUGGCUUACCAGCCGGGACCUGCAAAUACAUGCUGCGCAGGUGCAAACUUUGUCAUCGAGCAGGCAAUGAAAUGACAAGCUUCACAAGCAUGACGGUGGUCUCCUCAUUUCGUGAGUGCAAAUGCUUUUCUUUUUGUUGUUCUCCCCACACAAGGCCCGAUUUCAAGCUAAAAUCCCAAUUGCGAGCAAGCAAUUCUAAUCUUAGCCUUGAUCGUGUCA